rnacentral:lncRNA from 1 species
GUCUUUGGCGGCUGCUGGAAUGGGGAACGCCAGCCCUGAGGAUGAUGACAGGAAGGUGCGAAGGAGAGAAAAAAACCGAGUUGCUGCUCAGAGAAGUCGGAAGAAGCAGACCCAGAAGGCUGACAAACUCCACGAGGUGAGACUGCUUGGGCUAGGGUCAGCGCACGUGGGAGCCACAGGGAGGAGCCUU